UACGGGGGGGGCAAGCGUUGUUCGGAAUUACUGGGCGUAAAGGGCACGUAGGCGGCCUUCUAAGUCGGACGUGAAAUCCCUCGGCUUAACCGAGGAACUGCGUCCGAUACUGAAAGGCUUGAAUCCGGGAGAGGGAUGUGGAAUUCCAGGUGUAGCGGUGAAAUGCGUAGAUAUCAGGAAGAACACCCGUGGCGAAGGCGGCUCUCUGGGACGGUACUGACGCUGAGACGCGAAAGCGUGGGGAGCGAACAGG
rnacentral:rRNA from 1 species